GCUGGUCUCCUAUAUUAACCACUAGAUGUUCUGUCGUGGUCUUCAGGUCUGCUGGUCUCCUAUAUUAAUCAUUAGAUGUUCUGUCAUGAUCUUCAGGUCUGCUGGUCUCCUAUAUUAAUCAUUAGAUGUUCUGUCAUGAUCUUCAGGUCUGCUGGUCUCCUAUAUUAGUCAUUAGAUGUUCUGUCAUGGUCUUCAGGUCUGCUGGUCUCAUAUAUUAGUCAUUAGAUGUUCUGUCAUGGUCUUCAGGUCUCCUAUAUUAACUAUUAGACGUUCUGUCAUGGUCUUCAGGUCUCCUAUAUUAAUCAUUAGAUGUUCUGUCAUGGUCUUCAGGUCUGCUGGUCUCCUAUAUUAAUCAUUUCCGUCAACCAUAGGGAGGUGGAAACACAGGCAACAACACAAACAGACACACAUUAAAGUAAUGAGAGGACUAAGGAAAGCCAUCAGUGGAUAUAAGACGUGGCCUCAUGGAAGAAGAGAGAAUGUGAUAGAUGUGAUGGAACGCCUCAAAUUAUUCCAUGAAUUAUUUAGCAUCUACAGGCUGGGGCUGGACAGGACGUAUGG
ensembl:lncRNA